rnacentral:tRNA from 1 species
GGGCGGGUGGCGAAAUUGGCAGACGCGCCAGACUUAGGAUCUGGUCCNGGGUUCAAGUCCCACCUCGCCCA